GUGUCAGCAGCCGCGGUAAUACGUAGGGCGCAAGCGUUGUCCGGAAUUAUUGGGCGUAAAGAGCUCGUAGGUGGCUUGUCGCGUCUGUCGUGAAAGCCCGGGGCUUAACUCCGGGUCUGCGGUGGAUACGGGCAGGCUAGAGGCAGGUAGGGGAGAAUGGAAUUCCCGGUGUAGCGGUGAAAUGCGCAGAUAUCGGGAGGAACACCGGUGGCGAAGGCGGUUCUCUGGGCCUGUACUGACGCUGAGGAGCGAAAGCGUGGGGAGCGAACAGGAUUAGAUACCCUGGUAGUCC
rnacentral:rRNA from 1 species